rnacentral:rRNA from 1 species
ACACGACUACAUUAGAUACCCGCGUAGUCCUAGCCGUAAACGAUACUCGCUAGGUGUCGGCCACGGUGCGACCGUUGUCGGUGCCGUAGGGAAGCCGUGAAGCGAGCCACCUGGGAAGUACGGCCGCAAGGCUGAAACUUAAAGGAAUUGGCGGGGGAGCACCACAACGGGUGGAGCUUGCGGUUUAAUCGGACUCAACGCCGGGAAUCUCACUGGAUAAGACAGCUGAAUGAUAGUCGGGAUGAAGACUCUACUUGACUAGCUG